AACGAACGCUGGCGGCAUGCCUAACACAUGCAAGUCGAACGAGACCUUCGGGUCUAGUGGCGCACGGGUGCGUAACGCGUGGGAACCUGCCCUUAGGUUCGGAAUAACUCCCCGAAAGGGGUGCUAAUACCGGAUAAUGUCUUCGGACCAAAGAUUUAUCGCCUUUGGAUGGGCCCGCGUUGGAUUAGCUAGUUGGUAGGGUAAAAGCCUACCAAGGCGACGAUCCAUAGCUGGUCUGAGAGGAUGAUCAGCCACACUGGGACUGAGACACGGCCCAGACUCCGACGGGAGGCAGCGGUGGGGAAUAGUGGAAAAUGGGCGAAAGCCUGACCCAGCAAUGCCGGGUGGGGGAUGAAGGCUUUGGGGUUGUAAAGCUUUUUUACCCGGGAUGAUAAUGGCAGGACCGGGAGAAGAAGCCCCGGCUAACUGCGU
rnacentral:rRNA from 1 species